ensembl:lncRNA
AUAAAUGUGCCCAAGAGAGCUCACUGGAAACCUAAAGCUCUGUUAAACUCUUAGGAUCCCAUAGCAGUACAGAUUGUCAACACACAGUGGACUAGAGCCAUGACUCACACAACCACAAGUCAUGAAUGUGAUCCAGGCAAGCGUACUGUCUAUGAUGGCUCAGUGUUCAUGGCCGUGCUGCUCAGCAAAACGAACAACGAGGAGGGUUCGGUGGUGUCAGAGGAGGGUUCGGUGGUGUCAGAGGAGGGUUCGGUGGUGUCAGAGGAGGGUUCGGUGGUGUCAGAGGAGGGUUCGGUGGUGUCAGAGGAGGGUUCGGUGGUGUCAGUGGGGGGUUCGGUGGUGUCAGAGUUGUACCAAUGUAAUCCAUGCAAACCUGCACAAAACGCAACCCUACAAGUCUACCCCAGAUGACCAGAUGGAAUCAUCCUGCACGGAUGUGGUCAUAUCCAGAGAUGGCACCAGUGUUCGCUUCGCGGAGUAUGAACAUGUAACAUCAAAGGGCAGAGUGUUCAUUUCCUGGGGAGACACUAUCACUUUUGUUAAAUAUCAUCGUACCGACACAAUAUCAUCAUAUAGCGUAACGACCCUGGGUUUAUAAGCGUGGAUAGCGACUCUCUGCUUGAAUAUACUUUUGGGGCACAGUCGAUAGCGCGCUGGACUUCGGGCUAGAAAGUCGAGGGUUCGAGUCCCGCUCCCUGCCUGUUUCAUUACGCUAUAGUUUACUAUCGCUAUAUUUCUGUGCUACAGAAAUUAUCUGACAGUUCCAAACUCAAUCAGAAGCUUUUCUACAUUUUAUUCAAGUAGUUUAAUCCAUUUUUAUUCAAGUAGUAUAUUUGCCAUUUGCAAGUACCUAUUAAAAGUAAUAUAUUGGAAUUAUUAUUUGGAGCUCUCUCACAUAUAGUAGGUCUACAUAGUACACAGAGGUAGACAGUAUAACAGUCACACGGAACAAAUAAAACCUUUAUAAAAUCCUCUAUGACGUCGUGUUCAGCUCCAGGUUGUUUCCGCUGCACAUCGCUGUUAGACACUGCGCUUCUUGUCUGUCUAUAGGCUGUCUCGUCGUUGUUAUUGACGACACUUAUGACGUUUUUAGUCUCACAAUGGAUUCUGAGGACCCCCCCUUUUAUUAUAGUGCUGUGAUAAUACAAACAUACAGCCUCCUUAAUAUCUAAACAUAUUAUUUGAAUGACUGAAGACGGAGAGUUCUGCAUGAAAGAUAUAUUUUAUUAUUGUCAGUGACAUGGCACACAACCAUUGGUUGAUGCAAUGUAGCGUGUCAAUUGUAGUUGGCCUCGUAGGAUUUUCAAUGGGCUGUGCUGCAGAGGAGCUCAGCAUUUCUUCCGAAUCUCUCUCCCCCCUCAGCUAUGCUGGUGUGUAAAGUGGUGAAGUUCUCACGGUGGCAGUAGAGAGACGCCGAUGAAGUGUGUAUCAGUCUUGCUGGUGGCUGGCAGCGACGGCAGAGCAGAGCGUGACAUGCCAGUGUGUUUUUCCUGAUGGGAUGUGUUUUCUUGGUCUUGGAUCCACGGAGUGAUGGCAGAAUGUUCCAUUUAUUCUAUGGAUCUUUCCUUCCCGUCUUAUUUCUGCCACCAUGGCAUGAUCCAGAGCAGGGCGGUGUAACUGGGUGAUUCAACAUCACGGUUAUAGUGAUCGGAAGAGACACGGAGGAUUUUGCAACAAGUGCAAGUAGGAAAACAGUCAUUACACCUUUCCCCUUCAUAAUCAACGCAGUUCUCUCUGGCAGUGUUCAAGCCUCAGCAGCAGUCAAUCGGAGUGUUUCUGGCUGAUUUGUUCUUCUGAUGAUGAUGGUUGGCAGCUCCCUUCUGGUUUCGUUUUACAGCGUAGAGUGUCAGUGAGUAGUGCUGGUUAUAUAGUGACUUGUAUUUCCAUUCACUUACAUCCACGGUUUUAUCCAACCGAGGUCGUUUUAUCCAGCCGGCGCGUUAUAUCCGACCGAGACCGUUAUCCAAACGAGGCUUUAUAUCCAACCAGGCCGUUUUUUCCAACCGAGGUUGUUUCUCAGUUUUUAUUUUUAUUAUUAUUAUUUUUUCCGAACAUGACUAGUAUGCAGUGUGAUACAAUAUUGAAAUGUGAAAUGAAAUACAUUUUUUUAUUAUAUUCUGGUUGGUUUGUUUCCGUUUUAUUCAACAAAGCACCACCUUGUACACAUACGCAUACAUAGAUACGGCUUCGGUCUGGAAUCGAAAUGAGUCAAACGACUUCAAGCUUUGACAACUUUGAAAUAGUAGCCAGGGGAGAAGUUCACUCUGGCACUGAGUUCGUGUAGUGGAGGCUCAGGGCGGCUCUGCUUCAUGUAGAGGAAGCCCCUGGAAAUUGACUACGCAUUAAACUUUUUUUUUUUUUUACAUUAUGUUAUCAUACUGUCAUACUCUGCCUCCCUAAAUGUCUAUUACCUCAAUGAACGAGGUGAUAUAAUAUUGAAAUGUGAAAUUAAA